AACGUAGGAGACAAACGUUAUCCGGAGUUACUGGGCGUAAAGGGCGUGUAGGUGGUUUCGUAAGUCUGGCGUGAAAUUUUUCGGCUUAACCGGGAAAGGUCGUCGGAUACUGCAAAACUAGAGGACGGUAGAGGCGUGUGGAAUUCCGCGUGUAGCAGUGAAAUGCGUAGAGAUGCGGAGGAACACCGAUAGCGAAGGCAGCCCCCUGGGCUGACACUGACGCUCAGGCACGAAAGCGUGGGGAGCAAACAGG
rnacentral:rRNA from 1 species